UGCCGCGUGAAUGAUGAAGGUCUUAGGAUUGUAAAAUUCUUUCACCGGGGACGAUAAUGACGGUACCCGGAGAAGAAGCCCCGGCUAACUUCGUGCCAGCAGCCGCGGUAAUACGAAGGGGGCUAGCGUUGCUCGGAAUUACUGGGCGUAAAGGGAGCGUAGGCGGACUGUUUAGUCAGAGGUGAAAGCCCAGGGCUCAACCUUGGAAUUGCCUUUGAUACUGGCAGUCUUGAGUACGGAAGAGGUAUGUGGAACUCCGAGUGUAGAGGUGAAAUUCGUAGAUAUUCGGAAGAACACCAGUGGCGAAGGCGACAUACUGGUCCGUUACUGACGCUGAGGCUCGAAAGCGUGGGGAGCAAACAGGAUUAGAUACCCUGGUAGUCCACGCCGUAAACGAUGAGUGCUAGUUGUCGGCAUGCAUGCAUGUCGGUGACGCAGCUAACGCAUUAAGCACUCCGCCUGGGGAGUA
rnacentral:rRNA from 1 species